UACGUAGGGGGCGAGCGUUGUCCGAAGUUACUGGGCGUAAAGCGCGCGUAGGCGGUCUCUUAAGUCCGGGGUGAAAGGUUCAGCGCUCAACGCGAACAGUGCCCUGGAGACUGGGGGACUUGAGUGUGGGAGGGGGCAGUGGAAUUCCGGGUGUAGCGGUGAAAUGCGCAGAUAUCCGGAGGAACACCGAUGGCGAAGGCAGCUGCCUGGCCUGACACUGACGCUGAGGUGCGAAAGCGUGGGGAGCGAACGGG
rnacentral:rRNA from 1 species